rnacentral:lncRNA from 1 species
GGAGUCUCAUUCUGUCGCCUAGGCUGGAGUGCAAUGCGUCCCUGACCUUGCUUCAUAUACACAACAUCCUUUCUUAUCUUCUGAAGAUAUGAAUGAAAGUGAAAGCAAAGAGGAGGACCUGAACUUCCAAGGCCAACUUGACUGGAAACCCUCUAGUCUUUAAUCCAUAGAAACCUGACUUCUGUGCCCCCCAUGCCUAGAAAACUACUUUUAAAAAGAACAUUAGUGGUCACCACGUUGGUAAAGUAUUAAUAAAUAAACAUGUUUUAGUUCUAAUCAUA